UAUAGAUGUAUCCUCCACUCCUCGCUGGCCACCAUCCUGCUGCCCAACAGAAGAAGCUCUUCUGUCUCCGAUUUCCUGAACGGUCUAAGGGAGCCAGUGGGCUAGGCCCAUGCUUUGGUUCAAAGCGUUUGGAGAACAUCUUCUUGCUCCUUUUCCGGAAACGAGAUAAUGGACACAGAGUCCCAGACGUCAUCCUUUGGACCAGGAAGAAACAGGCUCCUGCCAGCACCGACAGCAACGAAAAUGUUCCCACGGAGAUCAGGAUGACUUGCUGAAGCUCAGUGGAGGCUAAAAAGAGGACACGAAAGUGAACAGAAUGAUCUUCCUACGCACAACACAAACAUCAGUUAAUGUUCCAUCCAUGCUGCUUAAAGAGCAUUCCUGUCCUAGUAAAAUGGGCAAGUCCCUCUACCCCCCACCCUCACCUGGUAUGCUUACAUUAAUAGCUAAAGUCAAUCCUGUAAUGAAAUAAAGCAAGUGG
rnacentral:lncRNA from 1 species